GAUUCCCUUAGUAACGGCGAGCGAAAAGGGAAAUGUCCAGCGCCAAGUCUUGACAUCUAUGGUGUUCAAGAGAUGCGGCGUUAAUGUAUCGACCCAUCGUGCACUGUUCUUUGUUUCAAGUUCCUACGACCGGGACUUCCAGAGCGGGUGUAAGACCCAUAGAGACGAGGAACCAGUGUAUGCUGAGCGGUGCAUUCUAGAGUCAGGUUGCUUGAGAGUGCAGCUUAAAGUCGGUGGUAAACUCCAUCUAAGACUAAAUAUUACAGCGAGACCGAUAGCAAACAAGUACCGUGAGGGAAAGUUGCAAAGCACUUUGAAGAGAGAGUUCAACAGUACGUGAAACCACUGGGAGGCAAACAGAUGGAACCACGAAGUUGCGCCUCGGUCGAUUCAAUCAUCAUUGUUGAUUAGUUGUUGGAGAUUGGGAUCUUUUCGGAGGUUAAUCUCAAACAAUUACAAUCAGCUAUGAUGGUGCAUUUCGUGCCGAGGAUGCUAAGCCACGUUCAACUAGAGUUGGGACGGCAGUAAGACAGAAUCCGAGAAAGGUGCCCGUCAAGUGCUUGCAUUUGACGGUGUUAUAGUCUUGGAUUGGAACCGUCGCCUAACAUACUGGUUGAURAAAUUUCUCCAUUUGGAGUUGAACUGUGUCUGCCUGUGGUUGUUAGUCGAUGUUGCGUAUUGUUCUUUGCGUAUCUUUCGAUGCGAAAAGACGGUACAAAGAUGUCGGCUAAUGGCUGCUUGCGUGACAUGGUGUAACUGUGGCGCGAGUAGGUCGGUCUCCAUCUGACCCGUCUUGAAACACGGACCAAGGAGCCUAUCAUAUACGCGAGUCGCACGGUCUUGUUUAGGCCUGUGAGGCGGAAUGAAAGUAAAGUUACGAGACUUUGGUCGCAGUAACGGCUCGCCCACUUCGUUUAUUGGCGAUCUGGCGAAGCUGGAGCGUAUACGAUGGUACCCGAAAGAUGGUGAACUAUGCCUGGGCAAGACGAAGCCAGAGGAAACUCUGGUGGAGGUCUGUAGCGAUUCUGACGUGCAAAUCGAUCGUCAGACCUGGGUAUAGGGGCGAAAGACUAAUCGAACCAUCUAGUAGCUGGUUCCCUCCGAAGUUUCCCUCAGGAUAGCAGGCGUUUAUUAAUUGCAGUGUCAUCCGGUAAAGCUAAUGAUUAGAGGUCUUGGGGUUGAAACGACCUCAACCUAUUCUCAAACUUUAAAUGGGUGAGAUGGUUGACUUUCUUGAUUGAAGCCAACCAUUUGGAUGCAAAUGCCUAGUGGGCCAUUUUUGGUAAGCAGAACUGGCGCUGUGGGAUGAACCAAACGUCGAGAUAAGGCAUCAAAUGCGUACGCUCAUGAGACCCCAUGAAAGGUGUUGGUUGCUAUAGACAGCAGGACGGUGGCCAUGGAAGUCGGAAUCC
rnacentral:rRNA from 1 species